AUUUAAGUAGUUUAAUAAAAAAAAUUAAACAUUGUGGUUGUUUAGAUGUAUAAUUUUACCUUAAAUU
rnacentral:tRNA from 1 species